UCCAUUCUUAGCACCAAGAAGCUCAGGAUGC
rnacentral:piRNA from 1 species